AUUAGCAAGUUCUCAAUUCAUCUUCCUGUCUACUCAUCUAUCCAAUGCUUCCUCAGCUUACUUACAAGAAUGUCAUGGGAGACAACAUCAAAAGCCUUGCUUAAGUCUGGCAUGGGACAGAUCCUUCAGCCCCCACUACUACCAGCUCCUUACUGCGCACAUCCCAUGUACCUUGGCUUGGCAGAUGUGGAUCCCCCAUGCCAGAUGCUAGUUGAUUGUGUGUGCAAACAUGGUGAUGAGGGCAUGGAGAACUACAGCUUGGUAUCUAAAUCCUGAAGAGUCAUUUUAUGUUGCUACUGAAAAUGUGGUGCAGAUCUCCAAUAUCUGCAAUGCACAGAGAUUUUAUUACCAUCCUGGAUUAAUGAGGUGACACCACACCUUUGAGUACAAAAGCUCCUUAGGCAGCAAGGUCUACUGUUAUGCAUUUCAGCAAGGGGAACGUUGCUUUAUUGCUUUCCUGGAGAGUAUCUACUCACAGUUGGCCAUAUACAACAUGAGACUGCAAGUAUCUAAUUUCAAGGAACAUCACUGCCUCAAGGAUGAGAAAGGUCAGAAGGAGUGCUGUUUGCUUCUGUGCACCUGUGCUACGUUCUGCUCAGACACCACCUCCAAGUGGCUAAGAAUUCUGGAGCAAACUGACCCAAAAGAGGGCAAAAGGGGAUGAUGAGUAUUUUCAUCUCAGGUGGAUGUCACAUCUAAUUGUGUCACUGGGGAUACUUCAGUUAGCCACAACAUCAGCGUGGAUGUCAGGUUUUUCUGCUUCACCAUGUGCACUUAUUCCAGGAGUAACAAGCCUGAGUGCUGGCAACACCACCAACGUGAAACCUUCUGAUAACCAGAAUCCUUCUUACGUAUAUGAACAUGUUGCAAUGAAUUCAGAGGAAUCUCCUGCGCAAUUGGUGCUCUGAAGACCACCGAUAAGUAUAGCUGUAGGAGCAGGGAAGAGAGAAUAGCGUGUUUUUGGAUUUCCUGAUCAGGC
ensembl:lncRNA